rnacentral:rRNA from 1 species
GACGAACGCUGGCGGCGUGCUUAACACAUGCAAGUCGAACGGCAAGGCCCUGCUUUUGUGCGGUGACCGAGUGGCGAACGGGUGCGUAACACGUGAGUAACCUGCCCUUGACUUUGGGAUAACUUCAGGAAACUGGGGCUAAUACCGGAUAGGAGCUCCUGCUGCGUGGAGGGGGUUGGAAAGUUUCGGCGGGUGUGGAUGGACGAGCGGCUUAUCAGCUAGUUGGUGGGGGAGUGGCUUACCAAGGCUUUGACGGGUCGCCGGCCUGAGAGGGUGAACGGCGACCUGGGGCCUACGAUAGGGCGCAGUGUCCUACGGUGGGCAGCAGUGGGGAGUAUUGCCCAGUGGGCCGACGCCGGUGGCAGAAGCGUCGCGUUUGGGAUGACGGCCUUCUGGUUGUGAACCGCAGUCGCCUGUGACGACGCGGGAGUGACGGUAAUCGGUAAAGAAGCACCGGCUAACUACGUG